GAGUUUGAUCUUGGCUCAGAACGAACGCUGGCGGCAUGCCUAACACAUGCAAGUCGAACGAGAUCUUCGGAUCUAGUGGCGCACGGGUGCGUAACGCGUGGGAAUCUGCCCUUGGGUGCGGAAUAACUUCUCGAAAGGGAUGCUAAUACCGCAUAAUGUCGUAAGACCAAAGAUUUAUCGCCCAAGGAUGAGCCCGCGUAAGAUUAGCUAGUUGGUGGGGUAAAAGCCUACCAAGGCGACGAUCUUUAGCUGGUCUGAGAGGAUGAUCAGCCACACUGGGACUGAGACACGGCCCAGACUCCUACGGGAGGCAGCAGUGGGGAAUAUUGGACAAUGGGCGAAAGCCUGAUCCAGCAAUGCCGCGUGAGUGAUGAAGGCCCUAGGGUUGUAAAGCUCUUUUACCCGGGAUGAUAAUGACAGUACCGGGAGAAUAAGCUCCGGCUAACUCCGUGCCAGCAGCCGCGGUAAU
rnacentral:rRNA from 1 species